GGAUGUGAGGGCGAUCUGGCUGCGACAUCUGUCACCCCAUUGAUCGCCAGAGUUGAUUCGGCUGAUCUGGCUGGCUAGGCGGGUGUCCCCCUCCUCCCUCACCGAUCCAUGUGCAUCCCUCCCAAAGCUGCGCGCUCGGUAGAAGAGGACGACCUUCCCCCCCGAGGAGAGGACCGGUCUUCGGUCAAGGGUAUACGAGUAGCUGUGCUCCCCUGCUAGAACCUCCAAACAAGCUCUCAAAUUGUGACCAACAAACCCAAAGGCAGCCAUCCAGGUAUCCGGUGGGAGCUGAUUCCCAAUCCUCCCACCUCCCACCAACUCUAUAGAUCACGUGUGAGCCUUUUUAAAAUU
rnacentral:snRNA from 1 species